rnacentral:lncRNA from 1 species
CUAAUAAGGCUGGGACAAUAGGUAUAAAUAGGGACUCUCCGUCCCUGCUGAUACAUGACUUGCUCAUUUAUUUCUGGAUUUUUUAAUUUUUAUUUUAGAGAGAGAGCGUGAGCUGGGGAGAGGGGCAGAGAGGGAGACACAGAAUCGGAAGCAGGUUCCAGGCUCUGAGCUGCCAGCACAGAGCCCAACGAGGGGCUCAAACCCACGAACUGUGAGACCGUGAACUGAGCCGAAGUCGGACGCUCAACUGACUGAGCCACCCAGGCGCCCCAUUUGUUGUUUGUCUUUAGCUCGCUUUACAAUGGUAGUUGUCACCUGCAUCACCUGUUUUUGUAAAUAAAGUUUUAUUGGAACCCAGCACGCCUGUACUGUCUGUGGCUGCUUCCGUGCUGCUUGGGCAGAGCUGACAUACAGCUUCGAUACAGACACACGGCUGCACACCCACAGUGCUUUAUGGAAAAUGUUUGCUGAGCCCUGACGUGGGGACCGUAAACCCGAAUGUCCCUUGUCCAAGUUGCAGUGGCCCAGGGGGUGAAGCCUGCACGUGAGGAGAAUUAAAAGUGCCUUGGAAGAAUCUGCUGUGCAGUCAGCACCCGGGAAGGGCAGGGAGACCUGAGCCGAGGCAUGGGGGGAGGGGCAGCCCGCACGGAGGGUGAGGGAGAGAAUUCCAGGCGAAGAGCAGACCACAGGGGGCUGCCCCGGCGUGGACAGCGCAGGGAGGGUCCGGGAGGAAGCUGCAGUGAGGAGGCGGGUAGGUCCCGUGUGGCCCCAGGGCUUUCAACUGCACGGUGAGUCAGGAUUCCAGGAUUCCGGGGAAACAGAUGGCUCCCCGUGCCAGAAUCUUCCGCAGCCCCGCGUCCCAAGACAACCGGCUCCUUCCCUAACGGCCAGGCUCUUCCCGUCCCUGGUGGUGGAGGCAGGAACCGGCCCCACGCCGGGGUGCUGCGGGUGAGAGCCGUUCGCGUGGACGCACUUCCCGGGGCGUGCAAAUGUGUGCAAAGGCACUCACACGCCCCAUCGCACGAGCGGCUCUCCCCGUGUGUGCAGCCACCCCCCUCACCCCCAGUCACGCCAGAGCGAGACAGAGACCGAGCGUGGCCCCGCUCCGCUCCCGGCCGGCCACCUCGCUGUCGGGAGGAGCAGCCGAGGCUGGGGACCGA